AAAGUCGUAACAAGGUCUCCGUUGGUGAACCAGCGGAGGGAUCAUUACCGAGUUUUCGCAACUCCCAAACCCACUGUGAACCUAUACCACAACGUUGCUUCGGCGGGUCUAAACGCCCCGGGGACGCGCCCGACUCUCCCCUGGCGGGAGGGCGGGCGAGGAUCCGGAACCAGGCGCCCGCCGGAGGACCCAAACUCUUGUUUUCCGAGCGUCUUCUGAGUGGGAUUUAUACAAAUCAAAUGAAUCAAAACUUUCAACAACGGAUCUCUUGGUUCUG
rnacentral:misc_RNA from 1 species